GGUUAAGCGAAUAAGCGUACACGGUGGAUGCCUAGGCAAUCAGAGGCGAUGAAGGACGUGCUAAUCUGCGAAAAGCGUCGGUAAGGUGAUAUGAACCGUUAUACCCGACGAUAUCCGAAUGGGGAAACCCAGUAUCCAAUGGAUACUAUCAUUAACUGAAUCCAUAGGUUAAUGAGGCGAACCGGGAGAACUGAAACAUCUCAGUACCCCGAGGAAAAGAAAUCAACCGAGAUUCCCCUAGUAGCGGCGAGCGAACGGGGAGCAGCCCAGAGUCUUAAUCAAUAGCAGUGUCAGGAGAACGGUCUGGAAAGUCCGGCAGUAAAGGGUGAUAGCCCCGUAUCUGAAGAUGCUGUUGUUGUGAACUCGACGAGUAGGGCGGGACACGUGUUAUCCUGUCUGAAUAUGGGGGGACCAUCCUCCAAGGCUAAAUACUCCUGAUUGACCGAUAGUGAACCAGUACCGUGAGGGAAAGGCGAAAAGAACCCCGGCGAGGGGAGUGAAAAAGAACCUGAAACCGUGUACGUACAAGCAGUAGGAGCCUCUUUAUGGGGUGACUGCGUACCUUUUGUAUAAUGGGUCAGCGACUUAUAUUCUGUAGCAAGGUUAACCGUAUAGGGGAGCCGUAGGGAAACCGAGUCUUAACUGGGCGAAUGAGUUGCAGGGUAUAGACCCGAAAC
rnacentral:rRNA from 1 species